AUACGGAAGGUCCAGGCGUUAUCCGGAUUUAUUGGGUUUAAAGGGAGCGUAGGCGGAUUGUUAAGUCAGCGGUUAAAGGGUGUGGCUCAACCAUGCAUUGCCGUUGAAACUGGCGAUCUUGAGUGCAGACAGGGAUGCCGGAAUUCGUGGUGUAGCGGUGAAAUGCUUAGAUAUCACGAAGAACUCCGAUCGCGAAGGCAGGUGUCCGGGCUGCAACUGACGCUGAGGCUCGAAAGUGUGGGUAUCAAACAGGAUUAGAUACCCUGGUAGUCCACACAGUAAACGAUGUAUACUCGCGGUUUGCGAUAUAGUGUAAGCCGCCAAGCGAAAGCAUUAAGUAUACCACCUGGGGAGUACGCCGGCAACGGUGAAACUCAAAGGAAUUGACGGGGGCCCGCACAAGCGGAGGAACAUGUGGUUUAAUUCGAUGAUACGCGAGGAACCUUACCCGGGCUUGAACUAACGGUGACGAAUCUAGAGAUAGAUUUUUCUUCGGACACCGUUGGAGGUGCUGCAUGGUUGUCGUCAGCUCGUGCCGUGAGGUGUCGGCUUAAGUGCCAUAACGAGCGCAACCCCUCUCUUCAGUUGCCAUCAGGUAAUGCUGGGCACUCUGGAGACACUGCCACCGUAAGGUGUGAGGAAGGUGGGGAUGACGUCAAAUCAGCACGGCCCUUACGUCCGGGGCUACACACGUGUUACAAUGGGGGGUACAGAAGGCCGCUACCCGGCGACGGGAUGCUAAUCUUUAAAACCUCUCUCAGUUCGGAUCGGAGUCUGCAACCCGACUCCGUGAAGCUGGAUUCGCUAGUAAUCGCGCAUCAGCCAUGGCGCGGUGAAUACGUUCCCGGGCCUUGUACACACCGCCCGUCAAGCCAUGGGAGUCUGGAGUACCUAAAGUCCGUAACCGCAAGGGUCGGCCUAGGGUAAUACAGGUGACUGGGGCUAAGUCGUAACAAGGUAGCCGUACCGGAAGGUGCGGCUG
rnacentral:rRNA from 1 species